AGCUCCAAUAGCGUAUAUUAAAGUUGUUGCAGUUAAAAAGCUCGUAGUUGAAUUUCUGAUAGAAGGGAGCGGUUCCGCAUUCUUGCGGAUACUUGCUCGUCUUCCGUCAUCCUUGGGCUUAGUCUCGCUGAUAUUAACUUAUCGGCGUGUACGAUGCCCAUCGUUUACUGUGAGCAAAUUAGAGUGUUCAAAGCAGACUUAUGUCGUUGAAUAUAUUAGCAUGGAAUAAUAAGAUAGGACCUAGUGACUAUUUUGUUGGUUUGCGUUAUUAGGUAAUGAUUAAGAGGGACAGUUGUGGGUAUUCGUAUUCAGAUGUCAGAGGUGAAAUUCUUAGAUUAUCGGAAGACGAACUACUGCGAAAGCAUUUACCAAGGAUGUUUUCA
rnacentral:rRNA from 1 species